rnacentral:piRNA from 1 species
UAAGAGUUCUCUGGAUUAGCAUGCGGC